rnacentral:rRNA from 1 species
UACGUAGGGUGCGAGCGUUGUCCGGAAUUAUUGGGCGUAAAGAGCUCGUAGGCGGUGUGUCACGUCGGCCGUGAAACCUGACAGCUUAACUGUGGGCGUGCGGUCGAUACGGGCAUCACUGGAGUUCGGCAGGGGAGACUGGAAUUCCUGAUGUAGCGGUGAAAUGCGCAGAUAUCAGGAGGAACACCGGUGGCGAAGGCGGGUCUCUGGGCCGAUACUGACGCUGAGGAGCGAAAGCGUGGGGAGCGAACAGG